rnacentral:rRNA from 1 species
AUUGAACGCUGGCGGCAUGCUUUACACAUGCAAGUCGAACGGUAACAGGUUAAGCUGACGAGUGGCGAACGGGUGAGUAAUAUAUCGGAACGUGCCCAGUCGUGGGGGAUAACGCAGCGAAAGCUGUGCUAAUACCGCAUACGAGCUAUGGAUGAAAGCGGGGGAUCGCAAGACCUCGCGCGAUUGGAGCGGCCGAUAUCAGAUUAGCUAGUUGGUGGGGUAAAGGCCCACCAAGGCGACGAUCUGUAGCUGGUCUGAGAGGACGACCAGCCACACUGGAACUGAGACACGGUCCAGACUCCUACGGGAGGCAGCAGUGGGGAAUCUUGGACAAUGGGCGCAAGCCUGAUCCAGCAAUGCCGCGUGCAGGAUGAAGGCCUUCGGGUUGUAAACUGCUUUUGUACGGAACGAAACGGUCUGCCCUAAUACGGUGGGCUAAUGACGGUACCGUAAGAAUAAGCACCGGCUAACUACGUGCCAGCCGCCGCGGUAA